GCACAAGGAUCUCAACCUGUGAUCACGGAGCAACUACCGUCAUUCACUCUUCGAGAUCCGCUUCCGCCGAUAAGAAAGACAAUCAUCCCUGUGUGUCGAGUCAUUUGUUUAACUUUGUCCGGGUAAAAAACUCUGAGAGUGACCAAUGUAUGAACUACGUAGACUCGGCAAAAAUGCACCAAACUGUGUUCAUAAGGAAAUGUGUCUGUUAACGCGAUGUACCUGCUGAAACGAUCCAACGAUCAAACGAUCUUUAUGGGUUAUGGAGCACCUCCAGGGGAAAUGAAAGUUGUCUGCUGUGUGGGACCAUUUUGAUCUGCUUUCGGAGCACAAGGUGAAAUGUCGCAUUUGUUUCUCAGAGCUGUCCUCUCCUAACAAAUGCGCCUCCUCAAUAUUGAGGCAUUAUCGGGCCAAGCAUGAGAAUGAAGUUUCCGAAAGACUCAAUAUAAGGUCAGUUUCCAGGAAGGAGUGGCUUAAUCAGGCACCGCUGAACUUCAUUCUCAAGCACUGCCAGCCCCUUGGCAUUGUGGAAGAGUGAAGGUUUCAUGGAACCCUCAUACGUUUUGCCAACAAGAAAGAUGACUCAUGGCAGCACUUGGAUGACAGUGGGGAGACUUGGGAGAAGUGCAACUGCAGAUGCAAUGGCUGAAAUGCAG